rnacentral:rRNA from 1 species
GAUGAACGCUAGCGGCAGGCCUAAUACAUGCAAGUCGAGGGGCAGCACGGUAGCAAUACUGGUGGCGACCGGCAAACGGGUGCGGAACACGUACGCAACCUUCCUUUAAGUGGGGGAUAGCCCAUAGAAAUGUGGAUUAAUACCUCGUAAUAUUAUGAGACGGCAUCGUUUUAUAAUUAUAGCUCCGGCGCUUAAAGAUGGGCGUGCGCCUGAUUAGGUAGUUGGCGGGGUAGUGGCCCACCAAGCCUUCGAUCAGUAACUGGUGUGAGAGCACGACCAGUCACACGGGCACUGAGACACGGGCCCGACUCCUACGGGAGGCAGCAGUAAGGAAUAUUGGUCAAUGGACGCAAGUCUGAACCAGCCAUGCCGCGUGGAGGAUGAAGGUCCUCUGGAUUGUAAACUUCUUUUAUCUGGGAAGAAACCCAUAUUUUCCAAUGUGGUUGACGGUACCAGAUGAAUAAGCACCGGCUAACUCCGUGCCAGCAGCCGCCGUAAGAC